GGGGUUGUCGUCCAACCAGGUAAGACAGCUGGCUCCAGACCAGCCGAUCAGGGUUCAAAUCCCUGCAACCCCA
rnacentral:tRNA from 1 species